ACCCUGUGGGUAGUUCAUUUGGUGGAGCAUGAGACACUUGGUCUCUGAUCUCAGAGUUUAGAUCUCAGGGUUGUGGGUUCAAGCCCCACAUUGAGUG